ACUUAAAUUGAAGAGUUUGAUCAUGGCUCAGAUUGAACGCUGGCGGCAGGCCUAACACAUGCAAGUCGAGCGGUAGCACAGAGAGCUUGCUCUCGGGUGACGAGCGGCGGACGGGUGAGUAAUGUCUGGGAAACUGCCUGAUGGAGGGGGAUAACUACUGGAAACGGUAGCUAAUACCGCAUAACGUCGCAAGACCAAAGUGGGGGACCUUCGGGCCUCAUGCCAUCAGAUGUGCCCAGAUGGGAUUAGCUAGUAGGUGGGGUAACGGCUCACCUAGGCGACGAUCCCUAGCUGGUCUGAGAGGAUGACCAGCCACACUGGAACUGAGACACGGUCCAGACUCCUACGGGAGGCAGCAGUGGGGAAUAUUGCACAAUGGGCGCAAGCCUGAUGCAGCCAUGCCGCGUGUGUGAAGAUGGCCUUCGGGUUGUAAAGCACUUUCAGCGGGGAGGAAGGCG
rnacentral:rRNA from 1 species